CAACACAAGUACAAGUUGGAAAAUAUGUUCCAUAUGCGAGCAUAUCCGCAUAUCUUCAAAUUAACGACUGGUGAAAUAUUUAUGGCUUUGGAACUGACCAUCUGCCACAUCAAAAAAUUGAAACCAGAAUCUUAGGGAGCCAAGUGGGAUUCAGAUGUUUGGCACUGUGAAAGUCUCAGUACCUCCAAAGGAGUGUGAAGUCCUGACCAUUCAUCUGCUGAAACUUGCACUCGGACAGAAGCCUUC